rnacentral:rRNA from 1 species
CUACAGGCUUAACACAUGCAAGUCGAGGGGCAGCAUGGUCUUUGCUUGCUAAGGCCGAUGGCGACCGGCGCACGGGUGAGUAACACGUAUCCAACCUGCCGUCUACUCUUGGACAGCCUUCUGAAAGGAAGAUUAAUACAAGAUGGCAUCAUGAGUCCACAUGUUCACAUGAUUAAAGGUAUUCCGGUAGACGAUGGGGAUGCGUUCCAUUAGAUAGUAGGCGGGGUAACGGCCCACCUAGUCUUCGAUGGAUAGGGGUUCUGAGAGGAAGGUCCCCCACAUUGGAACUGAGACACGGUCCAAACUCCUACGGGAGGCAGCAGUGAGGAAUAUUGGUCAAUGGGCGAGAGCCUGAACCAGCCAAGUAGCGUGAAGGAUGACUGCCCUAUGGGUUGUAAACUUCUUUUAUAAAGGAAUAAAGUCGGGUAUGGAUACCCGUUUGCAUGUACUUUAUGAAUAAGGAUCGGCUAACUCCGUGCCAGCAGCCGCGGUAAUACGGAGGAUCCGAGCGUUAUCCGGAUUUAUUGGGUUUAAAGGGAGCGUAGAUGGAUGUUUAAGUCAGUUGUGAAAGUUUGCGGCUCAACCGUAAAAUUGCAGUUGAUACUGGAUAUCUUGAGUGCAGUUGAGGCAGGCGGAAUUCGUGGUGUAGCGGUGAAAUGCUUAGAUAUCACGAAGAACUCCGAUUGCGAAGGCAGCCUGCUAAGCUGCAACUGACAUUGAGGCUCGAAAGUGUGGGUAUCAAACAGGAUUAGAUACCCUGGUAGUCCACACGGUAAACGAUGAAUACUCGCUGUUUGCGAUAUACAGCAAGCGGCCAAGCGAAAGCGUUAAGUAUUCCACCUGGGGAGUACGCCGGCAACGGUGAAACUCAAAGGAAUUGACGGGGGCCCGCACAAGCGGAGGAACAUGUGGUUUAAUUCGAUGAUACGCGAGGAACCUUACCCGGGCUUAAAUUGCAGAUGAAUUACGGUGAAAGCCGUAAGCCGCAAGGCAUCUGUGAAGGUGCUGCAUGGUUGUCGUCAGCUCGUGCCGUGAGGUGUCGGCUUAAGUGCCAUAACGAGCGCAACCCUUGUUGUCAGUUACUAACAGGUUCCGCUGAGGACUCUGACAAGACUGCCAUCGUAAGAUGUGAGGAAGGUGGGGAUGACGUCAAAUCAGCACGGCCCUUACGUCCGGGGCUACACACGUGUUACAAUGGGGGGUACAGAGGGCCGCUACCACGCGAGUGGAUGCCAAUCCCAAAAACCUCUCUCAGUUCGGACUGGAGUCUGCAACCCGACUCCACGAAGCUGGAUUCGCUAGUAAUCGCGCAUCAGCCACGGCGCGGUGAAUACGUUCCCGGGCCUUGUACACACCGCCCGUCAAGCCAUGGGAGCCGGGGGUACCUGAAGUGCGUAACCGCGAGGAGCGCCCUAGGGUAAAACUGGUGACUGGG